UACGUAGGUGGCAAGCGUUGUCCGGAAUUAUUGGGCGUAAAGCGCGCGCAGGUGGUUUCUUAAGUCUGAUGUGAAAGCCCCCGGCUCAACCGGGGAGGGUCAUUGGAAACUGGGAAACUUGAGUGCAGAAGAGGAUAGUGGAAUUCCAAGUGUAGCGGUGAAAUGCGCAGAUAUCGGGAAGAACACCCGUGGCGAAGGCGGCUCUCUGGGACGGUACUGACGCUGAGACGCGAAAGCGUGGGGAGCGAACAGG
rnacentral:rRNA from 1 species